AAUCGAACCGUAUACGAAAUGUAGCGAUAAUCGAAAUCGAACGAGGAACGAAAUGGAACGAUGAACUUUGGGAACAAAAACCAAGGAACGAAAAGAAUGAGCUAGUACACUGAUGAGAAGUGAACGAAAUCGAAUCGAAUGAACUAGUUCACUGCCGAUGACGUGCCUGCAAGCCGGACACAACUAGUAAAGGGCAGUGAAAGAGAAGGAAAGAG